rnacentral:rRNA from 1 species
CAGUCGCCGCGGUAAUACGUAGGGUGCGAGCGUUAAUCGGAAUUACUGGGCGUAAAGCGUGCGCAGGCGGUUCGUUAAGACAGAUGUGAAAUCCCCGGGCUCAACCUGGGAACUGCAUUUGUGACUGGCAAGCUAGAGUGUGGCAGAGGGGGGUGGAAUUCCGCGUGUAGCAGUGAAAUGCGUAGAUAUGCGGAGGAACACCGAUGGCGAAGGCAGCCCCCUGGGCCAACACUGACGCUCAUGCACGAAAGCGUGGGGAGCGAACAGGAUUAGAUACCCCCGUAGUCCCUGUCUCUUAUAC